UACGUAGGGUGCAAGCGUUGUUCGGAAUUAUUGGGCGUAAAGGGCGCGUAGGCGGCCUGUCAAGUCGCGUGUGAAAGCCCCCCGGCUCAACUGGGGAGGGUCACGCGAUACUGAUCGACUCGAAGGCAGGAGAGGGUAGUGGAAUUCCCGGUGUAGUGGUGAAAUGCGUAGAUAUCGGGAGGAACACCAGUGGCGAAGGCGGCGAUCUGGGCAGAUACUGACGCUGAGGUGCGAAAGCGUGGGGAGCAAACAGG
rnacentral:rRNA from 1 species